rnacentral:misc_RNA from 1 species
AAGAGCUAUAAGAAUCAGAUAUGCAGCAAUGUGAAAAGACCCAACACCCCAAACAAUCAGAACAACUCAAAUUAAAUAGCAACUUAGACUCUAGUAAUCUUUUAUCUUUAUCUGUCUUUUAUUUUCCAAACUUUCGCAUUUAAUUUUAAGUCUUGCAUUUCCUUUUCAAUUAAUCAAUCAAAAUAUUCAAUUCUAGAUCACUUACUUUCAAUUAUUUAUGAGAUUGACG